CACGUAGGAGGCGAGCGUUGUCCGGAUUUAUUGGGCGUAAAGAGCGUGUAGGCGGCCAGACAGGUCCGUUGUGAAAACUGGAGGCUCAACCUCCAGACGUCGAUGGAAACCGUCUGGCUAGAGUCCGGAAGAGGAGAGUGGAAUUCCUGGUGUAGCGGUGAAAUGCGCAGAUAUCAGGAAGAACACCCGUGGCGAAAGCGGCUCUCUGGGACGGUACUGACGCUGAGACGCGAAAGCGUGGGGAGCGAACAGG
rnacentral:rRNA from 1 species